rnacentral:rRNA from 1 species
GACGAACGCUGGCGGCGUGCCUAAUACAUGCAAGUAGAACGCCGAAGGAGGAGCUUGCUCUUCUGGAUGAGUUGCGAACGGGUGAGUAACGCGUAGGUAACCUGCCUGGUAGCGGGGGAUAACUAUUGGAAACGAUAGCUAAUACCGCAUAACAGUAGAUGUUGCAUGACAUUUGCUUAAAAGAUGCAAUUGCACCACUACCAGAUGGACCUGCGUUGUAUUAGCUAGUUGGUGGGGUAACGGCUCACCAAGGCGACGAUACAUAGCCGACCUGAGAGGGUGAUCGGCCACACUGGGACUGAGACACGGCCCAGACUCCUACGGGAGGCAGCAGUAGGGAAUCUUCGGCAAUGGACGGAAGUCUGACCGAGCAACGCCGCGUGAGUGAAGAAGGUUUUCGGAUCGUAAAGCUCUGUUGUAAGAGAAGAACGAGUGUGAGAGUGGAAAGUUCACACUGUGACGGUAUCUUACCAGAAAGGGACGGCUAACUACGUG